rnacentral:rRNA from 1 species
AUUGAACGCUGGCGGAAUGCUUUACACAUGCAAGUCGAACGGCAGCACGGGUGCUUGCACCUGGUGGCGAGUGGCGAACGGGUGAGUAAUGUAUCGGAACGUAUCCAAUAAUGUGGGAUAACGUAGCGAAAGUUACGCUAAUACCGCAUAUUCUCUGAGGAGGAAAGCAGGGGACCUUCGGGCCUUGCGCUGAUGGAGCGGCCGAUAUCAGAUUAGCUAGUUGGUGGGGUAGAGGCCUACCAAGGCGACGAUCUGUAGCGGGUCUGAGAGGGUGAUCCGCCACACUGGGACUGAGACACGGCCCAGACUCCUACGGGAGGCAGCAGUGGGGAAUUUUGGACAAUGGGCGAAAGCCUGAUCCAGCCAUGCCGCGUGAGUGAAGAAGGCCUUCGGGUUGUAAAGCUCUUUCGGCCGGGAAGAAAUCGUGUGGGCUAAUACCCUGCAUGGAUGACGGUACCGGAAUAAGAAGCACCGGCUAACUACGUGCCAGCAGCCGCAGUAACAC